rnacentral:lncRNA from 1 species
UCCAUUCUUUAGUUCAUUGAUCAAGUAUCUAGGAGUAAUUUCAACUUUUAAGUUUAAUUAUUUAAGAAAUAUAUUUUUAUAGGGCAAUAGCUUGUACAUGUUACAGGAUAUGCUUUACAAUAAAAAAAGAUAAAAAUUUUCUUGUAAUAUGGAGACCCUAACCAUUGUUUUAGAAAAAGUCAUUUUAAAUUUUUUUUCAUUCUUUAUAAUGACAUCCUGUUAUUAGAGUUGAAAUAAAAUGUGAAAGUAACAAAUUUCUCAUGACAUAUGCAAUGAUCAAGCAUGUGCUUGGGGUUGAUAUGCUU